GACGAACGCUGGCGGCGUGCUUAACACAUGCAAGUCGAACGGACAGGCCCUGCUCUUGUUGGGUUCUCGAGUGGCGAACGGGUGAGUAACACGUGAGUAACCUCCCCCUGUAUUUGUGAUAACAUCAGGAAAAUGGGUCUAAUACCGGAUAGGAGCUUCUGAUGCAUGGUGUGGGAUGGAAAGAUUCGGCGGUUGGGGAUGGACUCGAUGGUUACGGGCUUGUUUGUGGGGUAGGUGCUUCCCAAGGCUUCGACGGCUAGCCGGCCUGAGAGGGGGACCGGCCACCAUGGGACUGAGGGACGGCCCAGAAGCGUAUGUGAGGCAGCGGUCGGAAAUCUUGCAGAGUGGCCGGGCGUGUGAGGUGACAGCGCUGCGAGCGGGAUACCGGCCUUCGAGUGGUAAACAGCUUUCGAAUGUAACGAAGCGAGAGUGACGGUAAUGGGUAAAGAAGCACCGGCUAACUACGUG
rnacentral:rRNA from 1 species